GGUAUCCGAAGUGGUCUGCAGUAGUUCUGACGCCCCUUACACUUACCAACAGAACUCAUUGUCGAUUACUCGCGCUAAAAAAUGUUAAAUACAGUUAAUGCAAUAUUAAUCGCCCUUUGGUGAUAUAAAAUGCAAUAUUUUCAGGCAGCUAUUGAGCUUUUCUAGAGGAAGAGCUGAUGAAAAGAGUCACAGCUGAAUAGUGGAGAGAAAAAGCCCGGUAUUUAUUGCUUUUGUUUGGCUUUUGGCUACAGAGACAGGAACCUUCUAAUGGGAAAGAAUAACCUCUGGGUGGCAAACUAAUGAUCUUUGACUGGCUUGCAGUGAAUACGGCCAUGCAGUGAUUGACUUCAACAUGCCAGAUUAUUGAUUGGGCUGGCAAUGCCUAAGCCAUCAUUUUCUUGGAGCAGUUACCUGCUUUUGUCCUGAUCCCAUCCACAGCUGUCACACUGUGUAAUGUAUGUUGGAAUAGAAUCCUGCACUUAUGAAUCACAGUGACACUGGGAAGAAGAUGGCCAUGAAUGUCUGGAUAGGAGAAGAGAGCUCAUUGACCAUCAUAAAAGACCCCCCGCUCUUUUCUGGUGUUCUCUAGAAAAUGAGUGUUAAGUACAUGUAAAGGAGAGCAAGUUGAUUCAUACAAACUUCAAGGUAAUUUUAGAGAUUCUAGAAAAAUUUUUUUCUGGUAAAUAAUAUUCUAUCAAUAGUCAGAAACACCCAUAUUUGGGACCAGAUAGAGAUUGGUUCAGAGGCCAGAGAAUUCUGUUGUUAGGAGAAUGACUUUAUCAUCUCCCUUCAAAUGAGCCAUCGGGUUGGAGGCUUUAAGGAGGCUCCAUCACUAAGGUGCAAUACAUUCAGUGCAGGCUGCAAGCAGUGUUGAAGUAAUAAUCCUCAGGGUAGUAACAGGACAGAAUGUUUACAUUCCAACUCUGUAGCACUCAUAUCUUCUCCUGUGCACCUGUUCCUCUUCUACCCACAAGGCUAACUAUCCUCAUUCUCAUGAUUCAUUUCUGGAAUAAGAAAAGUAAACCCCACCUCUAGGAUUUUCCUUCUUGCAGUGUUAUCAAACGAGGAUUAAACAUUCAGAAUGUCUUGUUUCAAGGUAGGUGAGGGGUAAUUAUGAGGGGCAGCAGGGUUUGCGGGGAGGUGAAAGUGAUGUGGCA